ensembl:lncRNA
GUGACUUCUACCGUGCUGUAAUGGGCGCGCGCGCUGAACUGGAGCGGAGGACGUCACCAUGGAAACGAGGCGGCAGCCCAACCGUCAAGCAGCUGAACGCUGACUCUCAAUGUGGUUUUCACUAUUGUUUUUUAGGUUCUUCCAUGCUGAUGGCUGUGCUCUAGAGUCAUAUCUCCUGUCGAAGAACAUUUUUAGACAUUAUGAACCAUGAAAAAGUUUAGCUCCAACCCCAGUUAAGCAGAUCUGGGCAGCUGAUCAAGGAUCACCAGAAACUCUGCAGAACAUUGGUCCUCCAGCCCAGGACUGGACACCAGUGUUAGUGUCUGUCUCAGAAGCUGAAGAAAAGAGGCCACACCUCAGAGGAAAUAAGCGCUUCCUAAGGGUAC